AUUCAAUUCACUCCAAUGGAGAGGGUACCUCUUUAUUAUGGUGGUGUAGGAGGAGAUCACGAGUAUAAGGGUGUGCCCGGGACUUAUUUCCCUCUCAGACGAGGCGGAAAAGUAACACUUUAUCAAGAUGCUCACGUACCUGAGGGCAGCCUUCCGAAUUUGUGGCUUGAAAAUGGAGUGCAGUAUAACGUGCCGGGGACUUAUUUCCCUCUCAGACGAGGCGGAAAAGUAACACUUUAUCAAGAUGCUCAUGUACCCGAGGGCAGCCUUCCAAAUUUGUGGCUUGAAAAUGGAGUGCAGUAUAAGCACGGACAGUGUUGGCAGGAUAUGUUCAAUGCAAUAAAUCAGGCUCGUCGGUUGAUUUACAUUACAGGAUGGUCAGUAUACCACCUAGUUA
rnacentral:lncRNA from 1 species